rnacentral:lncRNA from 1 species
AUUCUUCUGCUUAAGCAUCCUGAGUGCUGACAUUAUACAGAUUACAGGCAUGUGCCACCAUGCCCAGCUGGUAAAGCCACUUUAUAUAGAAUAUUGCCCCAAAUUUCAUAAAAAUAUCUGGAGUGUCCAUUUUAUAAAUGAACACGACUCAUUGUACAAUCACACACAGCAGCACAAGAUGACACUAUACUCACUUAAAAAUUGGGGUCACCCACGGUAAAAAAAAGGCAGUCAGCACCUGUGGGAAGUAGCUGUCCUGGUAGAGAACAAACCGAGGUUAAGUACUGUGGCAAGUAAGUUAAAACCAUGAAUUCGAUUUCUCCUUGCUAAGAGAUCUGUUAUAGGUCUUCACCUUUCUUUCCCAGAGAAAGGACAAUAUAACCUCCUUCAACUCCUGCGGCUUCCAUCCUUCCAAGCCGUGCUGUCAGCCUCGCUCCUGCCUCCCCAUUCUUCCCCCAGGCCAUAAUUCCACAACAUCUGACUCAAGUGAUCUCUUCCACAUGGGGUCACAAUUAAAUACUAAGGAGCCGGUGUCCAAGUACAGGGGCAAAGGGACCCUGGCGCCACAGGCUGCAAGCUGUCGGCUCCUUCCCGCCCCCAAUCCCGCGGCACCCACCCGGGCUGAUUUUGGGGAUCCACGUGCGCCCCGCGAGCCCUCCAGCGCGCCCGUGGAAAGAGGCUAUGUAAAGGUAAGGAAACCCUCCCGCCAAGCCCAUUGCACCCGAGAAGGCGGGACGCCGCAGGAAGUGGCCGACGGCGGAAGUCCGCCCCCCCUCCUACACUUCCUCUCUAGGCGGAUGGAGGAUUCCUCAUCUUCAUGGUUUGAGGCUCGCUGGUGCCAGGCCCGACGCUGGAGGGCGUGACACUUCUUCCUGGACCCUGUUCAUACCAUGUGCACCUGGCAACACUGCCCGCGGAGGAUCGGAAAUUGCUCUUUUUUUUUUUUU